rnacentral:rRNA from 1 species
UGCGUAGGCGGCUAAUUGAGUCGGAUGUGAAAUCCCCGAGCUUAACUUGGGAAUUGCAUUCGAUACUGGUUAGCUAGAGUGUGGGAGAGGAUGGUAGAAUUCCAGGUGUAGCGGUGAAAUGCGUAGAGAUCUGGAGGAAUACCGAUGGCGAAGGCAGCCAUCUGGCCUAACACUGACGCUGAGGUACGAAAGCAUGGGGAGCAAACAGGAUUAGAUACCCCAGUA